rnacentral:rRNA from 1 species
AGUGAACGCUGGCGGUAGGCCUAACACAUGCAAGUCGAACGGCAGCACAGUAAGAGCUUGCUCUUACGGGUGGCGAGUGGCGGACGGGUGAGGAAUACAUCGGAAUCUACUUUUUCGUGGGGGAUAACGUAGGGAAACUUACGCUAAUACCGCAUACGACCUACGGGUGAAAGCAGGGGAUCUUCGGACCUUGCGCGAUUGAAUGAGCCGAUGUCGGAUUAGCUAGUUGGCGGGGUAAAGGCCCACCAAGGCGACGAUCCGUAGCUGGUCUGAGAGGAUGAUCAGCGACACUUGAACUGAGACACGGUCCAGACGCCUACGGGAGGCAGCAGUGGGUAAUAUUGGACAAUGGGCGCAAGCCUGAUCCAACCAUACCGCGUGGGUGAAGAAGGCCUUCGGGUUGUAAAGCCCUUUUGUUGGGAAAGAAAAGCAGCAGGUUAAUACCCCGCUGUUCUGACGGUACCCAAAGAAUAAGCACCGGCUAACUUCGUG